AUAGUGCCCUCUGACGCAAGUCAUUGGGUUAGAUCUGCUCUCUUCGCAAGAAGAGGGUUUCCAUACACACCGUGAACUGUGGCUUCGGCCAUCACAAACUGUUAGUAAUGAAUGUAAUAUCAUAACAAAAACAAAACUUUUAACAACGGAUCUCUUGGCUCUCGCAUCGAUGAAGAACGCAGCGAAAUGCGAUAAGUAAUGUGAAUUGCAGAAUUCAGUGAAUCAUCGAAUCUUUGAACGCACCUUGCGCCCUUUGGUAUUCCGAAGGGCAUGCCUGUUUGAGUGUCAUGAAACCUCACCCCACUUGGGUUUUUGCCUGAGCGGUGGUGUAUUGGGUGUUGCCUUGCUAAAGGCUCGCCUUAAAGACAUAAGCACCUUGGAUGUAAUACGUUUCAUCCUUCUGGGUGGCUGAUAACCCCACAUAUUCAUGAU
rnacentral:misc_RNA from 1 species